AGCGAACGCUGGCGGCAGGCCUAACACAUGCAAGUCGAGCGCCCGUAGCAAUACGGGAGCGGCAGACGGGUGAGUAACACGUGGGAACGUGCCCUUUGGUUCGGAAUAACUCAGGGAAACUUGAGCUAAUACCGGAUAAGCCCUUACGGGGAAAGAUUUAUCGCCGAAGGAGCGGCCCGCGUCCGAUUAGCUAGUUGGUGGUGUAAUGGACCACCAAGGCUACGAUCGGUAGCUGGUCUGAGAGGAUGACCAGCCACACUGGGACUGAGACACGGCCCAGACUCCUACGGGAGACAGCAGUGGGGAAUAUUGGACAAUGGGGGCAACCCUGAUCCAGCCAUGCCGCGUGGGUGAUGAAGGCCCUAGGGUUGUAAAGCCCUUUCGGCGGGGAAGAUAAUGACGGUACCCGCAGAAGAAGCCCCGGCUAACUUCGUGCCAGCAGCCGCCGUAAGAC
rnacentral:rRNA from 1 species